CAAGUCGCACGAGAAAGGGCUUCGGCCCCGGUAAAGUGGCGCACGGGUGAGUAACACGUGGGCAACCUGCCCAACCCUGGGGGAUAACCUGCCGAAAGGCGGACUAAUACCGCGUACGAGGGCCUGACUUCGGUCGGGUUCUGAAAGCAGGCCUCUGUAUACAAGCUUGCGGGGUUGGAUGGGCCCGCGGUCCAUCAGCUAGUUGGUGAGGUAAUGGCUCACCAAGGCUACGACGGAUAGCUGGUCUGAGAGGAUGAUCAGCCACACUGGAACUGAGACACGGUCCAGACUCCUACGGGAGGCAGCAGUGGGGAAUCUUGCGCAAUGGGCGAAAGCCUGACGCAGCGACGCCGCGUGGGUGACGAAGGCCUUCGGGUUGUAAAGCCCUGUGGGGCGAGACGAACAGUUUCUGGUCGAACAGGCCAGGGAUCUGACGGUAUCGCCUUAGCAAGCACCGGCUAACUCUGUGCCAGCAGCCGCGGUAAUACAGAGGGUGCAAACGUUGCUCGGAAUUACUGGGCGUAAAGCGCGUGUAGGCGGCUUCAUAAGUCCGACGUGAAAGCCCGGGGCUCAACCCCGGAAGUGCGCUGGAUACUGUGUAGCUAGAGUCCUGAAGAGGAGAGCGGAAUUCCUGGUGUAGAGGUGAAAUUCGUAGAUAUCAGGAGGAACACCUGUGGCGAAGGCGGCUCUCUGGGCAGGUACUGACGCUGAGACGCGAAAGCGUGGGGAGCAAACAGGAUUAGAUACCCUGGUAGUCCACGCUGUAAACGAUGAGAACUAGCCGUUGUGGGUAUUGACCCCCGCAGUGGCGAAGCCAACGCGUUAAGUUCUCCGCCUGGGAAGUACGGCCGCAAGGCUAAAACUCAAAGGAAUUGACGG
rnacentral:rRNA from 1 species